AGAACGAAGUGGUGGAAGCUCAAGGGGGAGGUAGCUCAGGUGUUCAAGGAGAGGGUAUUUAAGGAGGGCCCUUGGGAGGAAGGAGGGGAUGCGGACAAUGUGUGGAUGAAGAUGGCGACUUGCAUUCGUAAGGUGGCCUCGGAGGAGUUUGGAGUGUCCAGGGGAAGGAGAAGCGAAGAUAAGGAUACCUGGUGGUGGAAUGGUGAUGUCCAGAAGGCGCUUAAAGAGAAGAAAGAUUGCUUCAGACGCCUAUACCUGGAUAGGAGUGCAGACAACAUAGAGAAGUACAAGAUGGCGAAGAAGGCCGCAAAGCGAGCUGUUGGUGAAGCAAGGGGUCGGGCAUAUGAGGACCUCUACCAACGGUUAGGCACGAAGGAAGGUGAAAGGGACAUCUAUAAGAUGGCUAAGAUCCGGGAGAGGAAGACGAGGGAUAUUGGCCAAGUCAAAUGCAUCAAGGAUGGAGCAGGCCAACUCUUGGUGAAGGACGAAGAGAUUAAGCAUAGAUGGCGGGAGUACUUCGACAAGCUGUUCAAUGGGGAGAAUGAGAGUUCUACCAUUGAACUGAAUGACUCCUUUGAUGAGACCAGCAUGCGUUUUGUGCGGCGCAUCCAGGAGUCUGAGGUGAAGGAGGCUUUAAAAAGGAUGAAAGGAGGCAAGGCGAUGGGCCCUGAUUGUAUCCCCAUUGAGGUGUGGAAAGGUCUCGGGGACAUAGCGAUAGUAUGGCUAACCAAACUUUUCAACCUCAUUUUUUGGGCAAACAAGAUGCCAGAAGAAUGGAGACGGAGUAUAUUAGUACCAAUCUUCAAGAACAAGGGGGAUGUUCAGAGUUGUACUAAUUAC
rnacentral:rRNA from 1 species